CAGUAGCCGCGGUAAUACGGAGGGAGCUAGCGUUAUCCGGAAUUACUGGGCGUAAAGCGCACGUAGGCGGCUUUGUAAGUUAGAGGUGAAAGCCUGGAGCUCAACUCCAGAAUUGCCUUUAAGACUGCAUCGCCUGAAUCCAAGAGAGGUGAGUGGAAUUCCGAGUGUAGAGGUGAAAUUCGUAGAUAUUCGGAAGAACACCAGUGGCGAAGGCGGCUCACUGGCUUGGUAUUGACGCUGAGGUGCGAAAGCGUGGGGAGCAAACAGGAUUAGAUACCCCGGUAGUCCCUGUCUCUUAUAC
rnacentral:rRNA from 1 species